GUACGUAAGUUGUUGCAGUUAAAAAGCUCGUAGUUGGAUCUCAGGCUUGUGGCCGGUGGUCCGCUCGAUACGGGUGUGCACUGCCGUGUCCGGCCUACGUCUGGUCUAACGUCCAUAGUGCCCUUAACCGGGUGCUAUGGAAUGCCAGAAAGUUUACUCUGAAAAAAUUAGAGUGCUCAAAGCAAGCCGUUUGUGCUUGAAUACUGUUGCAUGGAAUAAUGGAAUAGGACCUCGGUUCUAUUUUGUUGGUUUUCGGAGUCGAGGUAAUGAUUAAGAGGGACAGACGGGGGCAUUCGUAUUGCGCCGUUAGAGGUGAAAUUCUUGGAUCGGCGCAAGACGAACAACUGCGAAAGCAUUUGCCAAGGAUGUUUUCAUUAAUCAAGAACGAAAGUCAGAGGUUCGAAGACGAUCAGAUACCGUCGUAGUUCUGACCAUAAACGAUGCCAACUGGCGAUCCGCCGCAGUCUGGCUUAAAGGACUCGGCGGGCAGCCUCCGGGAAACCUAAGUCUAUGGGUUCCGGGGGAAGUAUGGUUGCAAAGCUGAAACUUAAAGGAAUUGACGGAAGGGCACCACCAGGAGUGGAGCCUGCGGCUUAAUUUGACUCAACACGGGAAAACUCACCCGGCCAGGAC
rnacentral:rRNA from 1 species